UACAAGUUUUAAAAUCCAAAUAUUAUGUUCAAUUAAAAUUUUGGCAAGAUGAUGGUGCUAAACGAAGUCAGAGGACUUAGUUUAAUCACCGAAGUGUGUGGAACCAGUUUGUUAAUCACAUGUGUAUUUGUUAAUUGCAUUGCUAAUGAGGCUUUUGCUAGGAUGAGGUUGAGAAAGGCAGCAAUGGUCAAACACCCUAUGACUGCAGGCUGGGCCCCAGGCCAUGGCGUCUUUUUUAAUAAGAACCUUUGUUGCUUACUGAAACUUACUCCUUUCCUCUCCCACAGCUGAUUUACCGCCUGUUUAUUCCUGUAUAAAGACCUUGUUAAUCUUGUGAGAGCAUUCUUGUGUGUGAACUGAGCUCUGCUGCAGCAGAAGCUGCUAAUAAAGAACCAGAAAACCAACCCUUUCAGUUUGGACCAAAGUGGCAGACCAACAAAGCAGCCUCGACAUCCACGCUGCUGGCAUGGCUAGCAAGAGUUAAAAUAAGAUAAAUCCCAUGCUCACCAUGCCUUGCCCCACCUCAGGAAUAUUUCG